rnacentral:rRNA from 1 species
GUGUCAGCAGCCGCGGUAAUACCAGCUCUCCGAGUGGUAGGGACGAUUAUUGGGCUUAAAGCGUCCGUAGCCGGCUUAGCAAGUCUCCUGUUAAAUUCAGCGACCUAAUCGUUGAGCCGCGGGAGAUACUACUAGGCUAGGAGGCGGGAGAGGUCGACGGUACUUCCGGGGUAGGGGUGAAAUCCUAUAAUCCCGGGAGGACCACCAGUGGCGAAGGCUGUCGACUAGAACGCGCUCGACGGGGAGGGACGAAAGCCAGGGGAGCGAACCGGAUUAGAUACCCGGGUAGUCCUGGCCGUAAACGAUGUGGACUAAGUGUUAGGGCGGCCACGAGCCACCCUAGUGCUGAAGGGAAGCCGUUAAGCAUGCCGCCUGGGGAGUACGGUCGCAAGACUGAAACUCAAAGGAAUUGGCGGGG